rnacentral:rRNA from 1 species
GUGCCAGCAGCCGCGGUAAUACCGGCAGCUCAAGUGAUGUCCCAUAUUAUUGGGCCUAAAGCGUCCGUAGCUGGCCGACCAAGUCUCCCGGGAAAUCCGCCCGCCAAACGGGUGGGCGUCCGGUGGAAACUGGCCGGCUUGGAACCGGAAGGCUCAGAGAGUACGUCCGGGGUAGGAGUGAAAUCCCGUAAUCCCGGACGGACUACCGAUGGCGAAAGCACUCUGAGAAGACGGCUUCGACACUGAGGUGCGAAAGCGAGGGGAGCAAACAGGAUUAGAUACCCUUGUAGUCC